rnacentral:rRNA from 1 species
CAGCAGCCACGGUAAUACGGAGGGUGCAAGCGUUAAUCGGAAUUACUGGGCGUAAAGCGCACGCAGGCGGUCUGACAAGUCAGAUGUGAAAUCCCCGGGCUUAACCUGGGAACUGCAUUUGAAACUGUCAGGCUGGAGUCUUGUAGAGGGGGGUGGAAUUCCAGGUGUAGCGGUGAAAUGCGUAGAGAUCUGGAGGAAUACCGGUGGCGAAGGCGGCCCCCUGGACAAAGACUGACGCUUAGGUGCGAAAGCGUGGGGAGCAAACAGGAUUAGAUACCCGGGUAGUCCCUGUCUCUUAUAC